rnacentral:misc_RNA from 1 species
GUAAAAUAUUUGGAAAAUCAGAUUAGAAUCAUUAUCAAGGUAGAAAAAUCAACAGUAGAACCGUAAGCAAGUUAUAUUCACUCUCAAAAUGCUUUCUGAUUCUUCUUUAAAUAAAAGGUAUUCCAACAGACUUUAUUUCAUUACCAUGCCAAUUCUGUUCAUCCCACUAUAAAAACAGUUUCAGCCACUCACAUAUGAUUGGUUUGGUUGCGGUUAUAAGUUUGCUGCUGAUUGAAAAGGAAGACAACUAAAACAAAUUUAU